UGCCAUUGUCCUAUGGGAGGCUUCCAAAAUCAUGCACUGAAGGUUCAAAGUCAUAAAGGUUUUCCUGUUGUUUAUGAUCAUUCGCAUACGAAAAUUUCGUGACUAUCUGAUUGCCAUUCGCAAACGAUCGUUUCAAUACGAAAAUUUCGGAACUUUCAGAUCGAGGUUUGCAGAUUUACCCAGAAGACUCUAGAUUUAUCUUGUUUUGGGUCUCGUGGAGCACAGAAUUUUGGAGUGCAAGCUCUCUGUAAAAACACAGUCACUCCUAUUUCCUUGGCAAUAUAACUCUUCCAAUCGUGUAAACUCCUCUUCCAAUGAUGAAGUAAUAAAUGCAUUUUUAUUAGUG